GAUGAACGCUGGCGGCGUGCCUAAUACAUGCAAGUCGAGCGAACAGACGAGGAGCUUGCUCCUCUGACGUUAGCGGCGGACGGGUGAGUAACACGUGGAUAACCUACCUAUAAGACUGGGAUAACUUCGGGAAACCGGAGCUAAUACCGUAUAACAUGUUGAACCGCAUGGUUCAACAGUGAAAGACGGUCUUGCUGUCACUUAUAGAUGGAUCCGCGCCGCAUUAGCUAGUUGGUAAGGUAACGGCUUACCAAGGCAACGAUGCGUAGCCGACCUGAGAGGGUGAUCGGCCACACUGGAACUGAGACACGGUCCAGACUCCUACGGGAGGCAGCAGUAGGGAAUCUUCCGCAAUGCGCGAAAGCCUGACGGAGCAACGCCGCGUGAGUGAAGAAGGUCUUCGGAUCGUAAAACUCUGUUAUUAGGGAAGAACAAAUGUGUAAGUAACUAUGCACGUCUUGACGGUACCUAAUCAGAAAGCCACGGCUAACUACGUG
rnacentral:rRNA from 1 species